GUGCUUACUUUGGCAGCAUAAACACAAAAAUUGUAAAGACACAAAGAAGAUUAGCUCUUCAUGUCUUUGUGCAAGGAUCACAUGAAAAUAUGUGAAGCAUUCCAUAUUUAA